rnacentral:rRNA from 1 species
GUAAUACAUCGGAACAUGCCCAGUCGUGGGGGAUAACACUUCGAAAGAAGUGCUAAUACCGCAUACGUCCUGAGGGAGAAAGCGGGGGAUCGCAAGACCUCGCGCGAUUGGAGUGGCCGAUGUCAGAUUAGCUAGUUGGUGGGGUAAAGGCCUACCAAGGCAACGAUCUGUAGCUGGUCUGAGAGGAUGAUCAGCCACACUGGGACUGAGACACGGCCCAGACUCCUACGGGAGGCAGCAGUGGGGAAUUUUGGACAAUGGGGGCAACCCUGAUCCAGCCAUUCCGCGUGAGUGAAGAAGGCACUCGGGUUGUAAAGCUCUUUCGGCAGGAACGAAACGGCGAGCUCUAACAUAGCUCGCUAAUGACGGUAC